ACCCUGUCCCGAACUCGCAAGGAAAUGACCGGAGCCCACCGGGAUCUGGGGAAGCCCUGUGACUGUGACUCCUGCACAGAACGAGCUGAGACUCUGGGGAUAGAAGUGGAGUUUUGCCACCCCUACGGUUUCUGGUGACAAGGGUGAAAUCCUCUCAAGCCUGAAGAUGGGAUCCUGGGAGAAGAAAUAAAAGCUGGCAGAAGGUAGGAAUUUUUACCCAAGUGAACUCUCCAGGAUCUCUGUCUGUAGUCCCUGGUUAAAAGAGGAGGGUAAAAUUUUUCCUUGUCCCUUUCCAAAUUCAAACUGGCAGGAGAAAACCACUUUUAAGAAUUGAUUCUUUGAGUUGUGACUCUUGUGUCAACCUUAAAUGAUGAGAUUCAGAAAAUAUCAGCUAGGCACAUUGGCUCAUCCUUGUAAUCCCAGCACUUUGGGAGGCCAAGGUGGGAGGAUCACUUGAGCCCAGGAGUUUGAGGCUACAGUGAGCUGUAAUUGCAUCACUGCACUCCAGUCUGGGUGACAGAGUGAGACUUAGUUUCAAAAAAAAAAACAAAAAAACAAAAAAACACCGAAAACCAAAAACAAACAAAAGGAAAUACGAUUUUUAUUCUAGUGCAAAGCUCCAGAUGGACACCCAGGAAACAGCUUCCAAAGGGCUGAGAUCAUUAUUCCAAAAUGGAGAAGCUAAGGUUUCACUCAUAGGGGCAGAAACAGUGUCAGCAGGAUUGCAACAUCUUCUGUACAAAUCCAGUGUUAUAUUUGAUUAGUACAACUUGCUACAUUCCAAGGAAAAUUGUUUCAACAUUCCGGGAAAAGACUCCUUCCUCGAGGGCAUCUUACAUCUGUUGCUGCUCAGUCAUUUCUAACCAUUCACAGGAAAAAGCAGAUGCAUGGAGCAUCGCAAUUGCAUGCUCCAUGCCUCAGGCCACAUGGCCACAUUCCUCCCAAGGCUCGGAAUAAUGUAAAGUUCCAACAGGUGGCUCCCACCUGUAAUCUUAGCACUUUGGGAGGCCGAGGUGGCUGGAUAACUUUAGGAAAGGAGUUCGAAACCAGCCUGGCCAACAUGGCAAAACCCCGUCUCUACUAAAUAUACAAAAAUUAGCCCAGUGUGGUUGCCGGCAUCUGUAGUUGCAGUUACUUAGGUGGCUGAGGUGGGAGGAUUGCUUGAGCCUGGGAGUUUGAGGCUGCAGUGAGCCAUGAUUGCAGCACUGCACUCCAGCCUGGGUGACAGAGGGAGACCUUGUCUCAAAAAAAAAAAAAAAAAAAAAAAAAAAAAAAGAAAAGAAAAGAAUUAUUUAAUGAUUUCACACUUCUGAAUUUGGUAUUUGGCUCUGCAUACACAGUGGCUAUUGACCCAUAGCCUCCCAGGAAAGAGGCUUGUUUUCCAUGUCUUUCUCUUUUGUCUUUCUCUUUUGUGUGGUUCAUCAUGAGGAGGAAAAUAAUAAGAUUCUCUUUUCAUCUUGUUAUGUAUUGAGAACAUGGCUCUGUGACCAGUGAAAAUACUCUCUUUGGUUUCUGCCAGCUGGAAGGGUUGGGGGGACAAGUCAUUGCUAGGCUGCUAGCCAGCUGCCCAGGAAUCAGAGACACGGUGUCUCUGUGCAAUGGUUCCAGCUCUCCAAGGAGUUUGUCCUACUUGUCUCAGCUUUCAUUGUCUUGAUAACAAUUAGGAUCUUUGCUUGCUUAGGCUAUCUUGAGAAAGACUUUGGAGCUGGAGGGGGAUUGCAUCUUUUCCAGACUGUUUGGGAUGUUCUUCUGUGUCUACAGGAAUAAAAGAUAUCCAAGUGUCUCAAGAAACAUGUCCUGGGCUGCCCAUAGUGGCUCACACCUCUAAUCCCAGCACUUUGGGAGGCUAAGGCAGGAGGAUUGAAUCAGCUCUGGGCAGCAUAGUGAGACCCCAUCUCUACAUAAAAUAAUAAAAUUAUCUGGCUGUGG